rnacentral:rRNA from 1 species
GCGAAAGCAUUUGCCAAGAAUGUUUUCAUUAAUCAAGAACGAAAGUCAGAGGUGCGAAGGCGAUCAGAUACCGCCGUAGUUCUGACCGUAAACGAUGCCGACUGGCAAUUGGGCGCACUUCUAUAGAAGUUGCUGCCAGCAGUACUGCCCGGGAAACCAAAGUCAUUGGGUUCCGGGGGGAGUAUGGUUGCAAAGCUGAAACUUAAAGGAAUUGACGGAAGGGCACCACCAGGAGUGGAGCCUGCGGCUUAAUUUGACUCAACACGGGGAACCUCACCCGGCCCGAACACUGUUAUGACAGACAGGUUGAGAGCUCUUUCUCGAUUCAGUGGUUGGUGGUGCAUGGCCGUUCUUAGUUCGUGGAGCGAUCUGUCUGGUUAAUUCCGAUAACGAACGAGACUCUUGCCUGCUAAAUAGACGGCGCCGCCCUGGUCGGCGACCGUUUGCUUCUUAGAGGGACAAGCGGCUUUUAGCCGCGUGAAGCCGAGAGCAAUAACAGGUCUGUGAUGCCCUCAGAUGUUCGGGGCCGCACGCGCGCUACACUGUUUGCAUCAGCGUGUUUCUCCCGCGCCGGCUGGCGUGGGCAACCCGUUGAACCGCAAAGCUGCUAGGGAUCGGAGAUUGCAAUUAUUCUCCGUGAACGAGGAAUUCCUUGUACUGGCGAGUCAUCAGCUCGCGGGGAAUCUGUCCCUGCCCUUUGUACACACCGCCCGUCGCUACUACCGAUUGAGUGGUUUAGUGAGGCUCACGGACUGCGCGCGGCACACGGCGCCCUCGGGCGUCGCGCCGCCGCGCGGAAAGUGAGACGAACUUGGUCACUUCUAGGAAGUAAAAGUCGUAACAAGGUUUUCGUAGGUGAACCUGCGGAAGGAUC